GUCCACUAAUGGAUAAACUCUCGAUAUACUUCAGCUCUCUAUACGCUCUCGCACACUGUCUCAAUAUCUCAAUACGAUACUUGCCUUCGAUACUGUCUGGAUACUAUUACGUCAUACACAUUUGUCAACACUUAAUCACUAAUUCAAUCAGUUACCAUGCAAAUCAAAUAGGUUAAAUCAAAUAGAAUCAUGUUAAAUCAAACUAAAG